CGUCAGAGCGGACAGAUGGGAGCUUGCUCCCUGAUGUUAGCGGCGGACGGGUGAGUAACACGUGGGUAACCUGCCUGUAAGACUGGGAUAACUCCGGGAAACCGGGGCUAAUACCGGAUGGUUGUUUGAACCGCAUGGUUCAGACAUAAAAGGUGGCUUCGGCUACCACUUACAGAUGGACCCGCGGCGCAUUAGCUAGUUGGUGAGGUAACGGCUCACCAAGGCGACGAUGCGUAGCCGACCUGAGAGGGUGAUCGGCCACACUGGGACUGAGACACGGCCCAGACUCCUACGGGAGGCAGCAGUAGGGAAUCUUCCGCAAUGGACGAAAGUCUGACGGAGCAACGCCGCGUGAGUGAUGAAGGUUUUCGGAUCGUAAAGCUCUGUUGUUAGGGAAGAACAAGUGCCGUUCAAAUAGGGCGGCACCUUGACGGUACCUAACCAGAAAGCCACGGCUAACUACGUGCCAGCAGCCGCGGUAAUACGUAGGUGGCAAGCGUUGUCCGGAAUUAUUGGGCGUAAAGGGCUCGCAGGCGGUUUCUUAAGUCUGAUGUGAAAGCCCCCGGCUCAACCGGGGAGGGUCAUUGGAAACUGGGGAACUUGAGUGCAGAAGAGGAGAGUGGAAUUCCACGUGUAGCGGUGAAAUGCGUAGAGAUGUGGAGGAACACCAGUGGCGAAGGCGACUCUCUGGUCUGUAACUGACGCUGAGGAGCGAAAGCGUGGGGAGCGAACAGGACUUAGAUACCCUGGUAGUCCACGCCGUAAACGAUGAGUGCUAGUGUUAGGGGUUCCGCCCCUUAGUGCUGCAGCUAACGCAUUAAGCACUCCGCCUGGGAGUACGGUCGCAGGACUGAACUCAAAGGAAUUGACCGGGGCCCGCCCAGCCGGUGGAGCAUGUGGUUUAAUUCGAAGCACUCGAAGAACUUACAGGCCUGACCAUCCUCUGACAAUCCUAGAGAUAGACGUCCCUUCGGGGGCAAGUGACAGGGGUGCAUGGUUGUCGUCAGCUCGUGUCUGGAAUGUUGGGUAAAUCCGCACGAGCGCACCUUGAUCUUAGUUGCCAGCAUUCAGUGG
rnacentral:rRNA from 1 species